GUCUACGGCCACACCACCCUGAACGUGCACAGUCGCGUCUGAUCUCAGAAGCUAAGCAGGGUCGGGCCUGGAUAGUACUUGAGACUUCCUGGGAACACUGGGGUGCUGUAGGCU
ensembl:rRNA 5S_rRNA 5S ribosomal RNA